rnacentral:lncRNA from 1 species
GAAGACCUUCUGUAGAGCGAACCGAGACACCUGAGGCCCAGGAUCAUCCGACUAUGGCUGAGUUUACCGAGUUCUUUUGAGCCAUCCAGGGUCUAAUCGCAGCCGUAUGCUUUAAACCAAGCAAACUAAUGCCAACACCCCCUGUCCCUGACUAUCAUUCAGCUGAGAGAUCUAUCUCCUAUAAUAUAGCACAGUUUAAGAAACUCAACUCACCCCACUUUGAAGGAGGCC